UAAAAUAUUGUAGAUGUGUGGCUGGUUGUAGCCAUGGGAUCUCCAACUGCAUGCAGGAGCAACCUGGAGAGACUUUGACAGCCCAGGGCAGUUAAAUACCUACAGCUGCCACUUGCCUUUCCUAAUGCA